rnacentral:rRNA from 1 species
UUUGCAUAUCAAAAAAGCGGAGGAAAAGAAACCAACAGGGAUUGCCCUAGUAACGGCGAGUGAAGCGGCAACAGCUCAAAUUUGAAAGCUGGCCUUCGGGUCCGCAUUGUAAUUUGUAGAGGAUGCUUUGGGUAAAACGCCAGUCUAAGUUCCUUGGAACAGGACGUCAUAGAGGGUGAGAAUCCCGUAUGUGACUGGAAAUGUUAACCUAUGUAAAGCUCCUUCGACGAGUCGAGUUGUUUGGGAAUGCAGCUCUAAAUGGGAGGUAAAUUUCUUCUAAAGCUAAAUAUUGGCGAGAGACCGAUAGCGCACAAGUAGAGUGAUCGAAAGAUGAAAAGCACUUUGGAAAGAGAGUUAAAAAGCACGUGAAAUUGUUGAAAGGGAAGCGCUUGCAAUCAGACUUGUUUAAACUGUUCGGCCGGUCUUCUGACCGGUUUACUCAGUUUGGACAGGCCAGCAUCAGUUUCGGCGGCCGGAUAAAGGCUCUGGGAAUGUGGCCUCCACUUCGGUGGAGGUGUUAUAGCCCAGUGUGUAAUACGGCCAGCCGGGACUGAGGUCCGCGCUUCGGCUAGGAUGCUGGCGUCCCCCAGGUU